rnacentral:rRNA from 1 species
UACGGAGGGUGCAAGCGUUGCUCGGAAUUAUUGGGCGUAAAGGGCAAGUAGGUGGUCUCAUUUGUCUGGGGUGAAAGCCUUGAGCUUAACUCAAGAAGUGCCCCGGAAACGGUGAGACUAGAGUCCUAGAGAGGGUCGUGGAAUUCCGCGUGUAGCAGUGAAAUGCGUAGAGAUGCGGAGGAACACCGAUGGCGAAGGCAGCCCCCUGGGCUAGCACUGACGCUCAGGCACGAAAGCGUGGGGAGCAAACAGG